UAGCCAGACUCCUACGGGAGGCAGCAGUAGGGAAUUUUGCGCAAUGGGGGAAACCCUGACGCGGCAACACCGCGUGAAUGUUAAGCCCUUCGGGGUGUAAAGUUCUGUCAAUAGGGACGAAUUUUGACUGUACCUAUAAAGGAAGCACCGGCUAACUCCGUGCCAGCAGCCGCGGUAAUACGGGGGGUGCGAGCGUUAUCCGGAUUUAUUGGGUUUAAAGGGUGCGUAGGCGGAAUAUCAAGUCAGCGGUAAAAAUUCGGGGCUCAACCCCGUCGUGCCGUUGAAACUGAUGUUCUUGAGUGGGCGAGAAGUAUGCGGAAUGCGUGGUGUAGCGGUGAAAUGCAUAGAUAUCACGCAGAACUCCGAUUGCGAAGGCAGCAUACCGGCGCCCAACUGACGCUGAAGCACGAAAGCGUGGGUAUCGAACAGGAUUAGAUACCCUCGUA
rnacentral:rRNA from 1 species